rnacentral:rRNA from 1 species
UACGAAGGGGGCUAGCGUUGUUCGGAAUUACUGGGCGUAAAGCGCGCGUAGGCGGCCCCGUAAGUCCGCUGUGAAAGUCAAAGGCUCAACCUUUGAAAGCCGGUGGAUACUGUGGGGCUAGAGUCCGGAAGAGGCGAGUGGAAUUCCUGGUGUAGCGGUGGAAUGCGCAGAUAUCAGGAGGAACACCAAUAGCGAAGGCAGCUCGCUGGGACGGUACUGACGCUAAGGCGCGAAAGCGUGGGAGCGAACAGG